ensembl:snRNA U6 U6 spliceosomal RNA
GUACUGGCUUUGUUAGGACAUAUACUAAAAUUAGAACAAUACAGAAUAGCAUAGCCCCUGUGCAAAGAUGACAUGUAAAUUUAUGAAGGGUUUUUUUU